rnacentral:rRNA from 1 species
GAUGAACGCUGGCGGCGUGCCUAAUACAUGCAAGUCGAGCGAACAGACUAGGAGCUUGCUCCUCUGACGUUAGCGGCGGACGGGUGAGUAACACGUGGAUAACCUACCUAUAAGACUGGGAUAACUUCGGGAAACCGGAGCUAAUACCGGAUAAUAUAUUGAACCGCAUGGUUCAAUAGUGAAAGACGGUUUUGCUGUCACUUAUAGAUGGAUCCGCGCCGCAUUAGCUAGUUGGUAAGGUAACGGCUUACCAAGGCAACGAUGCGUAGCCGACCUGAGAGGGUGAUCGGCCACACUGGAACUGAGACACGGUCCAGACUCCUACGGGAGGCAGCAGUAGGGAAUCUUCCGCAAUGGGCGAAAGCCUGACGGAGCAAAGCCGCGUGAGUGAUGAAGGUCUUCGGAUCGUAAAACUCUGUUAUUAGGGAAGAACAAAUGUGUAAGUAACUAUGCACGUCUUGACGGUACCUAAUCAGAAAGCCACGGCUAACUACGUG